GGCAGUGCCAUCCCUGGGCAGGUGGUCCUGAGUUCAGUAUGAAAGCAGGCUGAGCAAGCCAUAGGAGGCAAGCCAGUAAGUAGCAGCCCUCCAUGGCCUCCGCAUCAGGUUCCUGCCUGGCUUGAGUUCCUGUUCUGACGUCCUUUAGUAAUGGACUACAGUGUGGAAUUGUAAGCCACAUAAACCCACCAUGCUUUUGGUCAUGGUAUUUCAUCGUAGCAACAGCGAACCUAAGACAGAAGUUGGUAUCAAGGUAUUGCUGUGACAAAUAGCUGUGACAGACCUGACCGUAUUGCUCUGGGGAGGAUUGCAGAAGGACUCUGGAACUUUGUGGGAUGUUCUGUAGGAUCUCAGAAGAUAAGAACGUUGAAAGCAAUGAAGACGAUGGAGGUCUGGCUUGUGAAGUUUCAGAGGGAAGCAAAGACUCCACUGGGCCAUUUCUGUGAAGAAUCUGUGUGUCUGGUCAGCUGGAGCUGAACAAUUGGCUGUGAUUAAUAAGAGACCAGAAUCACUAAAAUCAAACCUUCCCCCCUCCCCCCGGGACAGUGGAUGCUGGUCAGCUCGGGCCGAGGAUCAGCUUUGGUUAAGAAGAGGCCACACAUGCCAGUUGUAUUUGGAGGCGGUUAAGGUUGUACCUUGUGCUGGUAGCCAGGCUUGACCGUGAGUAAGAGUCACCCAGAUGAUACUGGUUUUGAAGGCGUGCAGGGGUCAUGGGGAAAAGCCGAGGCUUGGCACUGGGAGAGGCCGGGAGAGGCUACUGUUGAAAGUGCAGCCCGGUUGCAGCAGAGACCUCAGCGUUUUGAGAUGCAGAACCAUGGAACUGUGGCUAACAACAGCAGCAGCAGUGGAGUGGGGGUGGCCCAAGCUCAGCAGACAAACUGUGUGUACUGCAGAGGGCAGAGCUACAGACGUGGUUCAGGCCCAUGGAGGAUCCCAGAAGAUUCCCCAUCAUGAGCUGACCUACAACAGAGAGGAGAAGAUGCUCCAAUCGAGGCUGAGGUGGUCCUGCGGACAACUAUUUCUGCCUGAGUCAUUGAGACAGCGCUCACCUAAGAACUAGCUGGAGAUUCUCCAUCCUGAGGCUGCCUGUCACUUUCCAGCCAAGACACUUAUCAGCUCCCUCAGAAGCCCCUGGGUUAUAUUGCUCUCUGGAUACUUCCCUGGCACGGCGGGGCCUUCUGGGAGCUACCGAAGUGUCCUGCUGGGAUGCCAUGAGAUGCUCGUUACUUUAGUAAUGUGCUGAGCCCGGUACACGAUGAUUGCCCGCAGAAAGUCGAUGGAGUGCCUUACCGCGAUAAGCCACACGGGUCAGUGAUGCCCCGAAUUCUCCUGUGAAAGAGGAUGCCUGGCUCCAAGGAGACUGAAUUGCACUGUGCUUCAACACAGCUGGAGGAGGGGAAGCUGGAGUGGCAAUUCCCACUAGUUUUAUCAGGAAUUUUUCUCACCACUGGCCCAGAGCACAAUAUCACUGGAAAGGGAAGACAACAUAAACAAACAUGGGAAGAAGUUAAAUCACUUACAUAGCUCCCCAAAUAUUUUCCAUAUAGAAACAUUUCGGUUUCCAGGGUUUUUUUUCCCCAAUUGUUUUAUUGUUCUAAAGUUCACAGAUAACAUUUAUUAUUGAAACCAUUUUUAACUGAACGGUUCAGUGAUGCAAAAAUAUUUAUAAUGUGGUGUAACCAUCAUCACCAUCCACCUUUGUAACAUUUUUUAUCUGAUAAACUGACGUCCAAAACCUAUUAAUAAUAGCACCUUCAUUUCCCUUUCCCUUUAUCCCUGGCAAACAUCAUUCCACUGUCCAGUUUAAUUGCCUUUUCCAAAAGAAAUAUUUAAUUUAGAGAAUGGUAUAGCUGAACAUUUUUAUAGAUGCUUAGAAUUUGGGGGAUUGGCAUAAUCAUUGUUCAUCUAAUUAAGAUGCAGUGUGAUAUUUUAACUUAUGCACCGAUCUAAUCAGGGUGAUGAGCAGCUCCCUGUCCUUAUCAUUUAUUUAUCUCUGGAAACUUGCAAGAGGAACCACUUCCGUCUAACUUUAGCUUCAGAACUCAGGAGGCUGCAUCUUCAAGGAUGACCAGACAAUUAGUCUGGCUUCAAAUUUUUAUAACAUGACUGAAACACUCAUCUGAUUAAGACAGGCUAAUCUCAAAUAAUCUUUCUAUUCGAUUAACUUAAAGUCAACUCAGUGGGAAUCUCAGUUGCAUCUUCAAAAUCUCCUCUGCCAUAAAAGAUCAUGCUGUGACAUCCCAUCAUAGUCACAGUCUUGCUCACAGGGGGCAAAGACUAUGUAGGACUCUAAAUAAGAAGCAAAAUCUGAGGUCCAUGUUAGAGUUCUAUCUGCCUAUAUCCAUCGAGCAAUUUGAGAUCUCUGCAAGGUAAAUACCAGAAGGCGUGUCAGGAAAGGACACCAAAAUAAACCUAACAGCUCAAAGCAAGAAGAAAGCUCAGAGAACAAUAAGCAAAAUACCAAAGGUACAACUCAUAACUGGAUGUCAUACAAUAUGCUACAAACACGCCUACUCACAUGGGGAACAGCAAUCAAUGUGUGUGGUGGUAGAUACCCCAUAGAUACUGAAACAUCCAUGAUAAAUGAGGAAACUCAAAAGUUCAUUGUCUCUCCUUCCUGCCGUGUGUGUGUGUGUGUGUGUGUGUGUGUGUG